rnacentral:lncRNA from 1 species
UUUCUUCAAGUUCUCUUUUAUAGUAAGCACUUGUUAGAUAAAUUGGAAUUAAUCUAUUUGUAUAUUCUUGGUGUAAUCUUGGAUGACAAGAGGUGUAAAAAUUGAGGCCAUUGAUUGGUUCAAGUGUUGGACAAAUCAAUGAUAAAACUUAAAACAAUCAAUAACAAAGUUGUGUGCCACACGGUAAAAUGUAAAUGAGAAUGUCAACGAAAAUAUAAGUGAAGCAAAAUUGGAUAAACUUUGAUAAAAUUUUAUCAAGUGAAAUCAUUAAUUUGUCUAUCAUAUUUAGACCCUGCCAUUAAUUUGUUAGAGCAACUCGAAAUUUUUUAAUAUUUGUUUAAAAUGUUUGAUGAAUAACUUUUAAAGAUAUUUUGUUAUUUGAAAUUAGGACUAUGAUCGAUAUGUUAUAAAAAAAUUUUAAGUAACAAAUAUAUGUUGUUAAUUACCUAUUCUAUUACAUUUAAUCAUUUUCCUUAUCUCUUGUUCAUAGUGG